rnacentral:misc_RNA from 1 species
GGAAUGGUUAGAAUCAUGUGUUGGAGGACUUGAAGGAUCAGUAGUAGGAGAGUUUUCUGGAUUGGAUGAUACGACCAAGGCGAAACUUUGUUUCGAGCAGUUUUUGUACUCGGAUAUGAUUUUUUGUGGUGCAGGAAUGCUUCCAAAGGACGUUCACAAGCUGCAUUUGGUUGAUCUUAAAGGGCCCUUUGUUCUUCAGGUAUAGUGAAAAUCUAAAUGCCGAUGAAGUUUAUUGCUGUUGUGGUUUCAAUAUGUAAUUUUGUUAAAGCUUUACCGGCG